rnacentral:rRNA from 1 species
CGGGUUAAUAUUCCCGUACUUGGUGUUACUGCGAAGGGGGGACGGAGAAGGCUAUGUUGGCCGGGCGACGGUUGUCCCGGUUUAAGCGUGUAGGUGUGUGUUCCAGGUAAAUCCGGUUCACUUUAACACUGAGGCGUGACGACGAGGCACUACGGUGCUGAAGCAACAAAUGCCCUGCUUCCAGGAAAAGCCUCUAAGCAUCAGGUAACAUCAAAUCGUACCCCAAACCGACACAGGUGGUCAGGUAGAGAAUACCAAGGCGCUUGAGAGAACUCGGGUGAAGGAACUAGGCAAAAUGGUGCCGUAACUUCGGGAGAAGGCACGCUGACACGUAGGUGAAGUGAUUUACUCAUGGAGCUGAAGUCAGUCGAAGAUACCAGCUGGCUGCAACUGUUUAUUAAAAACACAGCACUGUGCAAACACGAAAGUGGACGUAUACGGUGUGACGCCUGCCCGGUGCCGGAAGGUUAAUUGAUGGGGUCAGCGCAAGCGAAGCUCCUGAUCGAAGCCCCGGUAAACGGCGGCCGUAACUAUAACGGUCCUAAGGUAGCGAAAUUCCUUGUCGGGUAAGUUCCGACCUGCACGAAUGGCGUAAUGAUGGCCAGGCUGUCUCCACCCGAGACUCAGUGAAAUUGAACUCGCUGUGAAGAUGCAGUGUACCCGCGGCAAGACGGAAAGACCCCGUGAACCUUUACUAUAGCUUGACACUGAACAUUGAGCCUUGAUGUGUAGGAUAGGUGGGAGGCUUUGAAGUGUGGACGCCAGUCUGCAUGGAGCCGACCUUGAAAUACCACCCUUUAAUGUUUGAUGUUCUAACGUGGACCCGUUACCCGGGUUGCGGACAGUGUCUGGUGGGUAGUUUGACUGGGGCGGUCUCCUCCUAAAGAGUAACGGAGGAGCACGAAGGUUGGCUAAUCCUGGUCGGACAUCAGGAGGUUAGUGCAAUGGCAUAAGCCAGCUUGACUGCGAGCGUGACGGCGCGAGCAGGUGCGAAAGCAGGUCAUAGUGAUCCGGUGGUUCUGAAUGGAAGGGCCAUCGCUCAACGGAUAAAAGGUACUCCGGGGAUAACAGGCUGAUACCGCCCAAGAGUUCAUAUCGACGGCGGUGUUUGGCACCUCGAUGUCGGCUCAUCACAUCCUGGGGCUGAAGUAGGUCCCAAGGGUAUGGCUGUUCGCCAUUUAAAGUGGUACGCGAGCUGGGUUUAGAACGUCGUGAGACAGUUCGGUCCCUAUCUGCCGUGGGCGCUGGAGAACUGAGGGGGGCUGCUCCUAGUACGAGAGGACCGGAGUGGACGCAUCACUGGUGUUCGGGUUGUCAUGCCAAUGGCACUGCCCGGUAGCUAAAUGCGGAAGAGAUAAGUGCUGAAAGCAUCUAAGCACGAAACUUGCCCCGA